GAGGAUGAGGAUGAGGAUGAGGAUGAGGAUGAGGAGCAGCGAGGGGCUGCUCUGGGGACAGGGUGAUGGCAGCACCUCGUGUUUGUCAGCGAGCACAGCAGCAGCCACGGCCUGGCCCAGCUCAGGCCUGUCUUCUCCCAGCAGGCUGGUGAGGGAUUUACAUAAUAACGGGCCUAUUUUAACUUUGCUUCAUUGGCUCCUGACAAGAUACAAUAUUUUUGAUUAAACAGCUUCCCAGGAAGGAGCUGCUGCCUUAAACCACCCGCACUUUCUCUGACCCCAUGUGAUCUCAUUAGCGGCCCCCUCAGACAUGUCUGAUGGCUCUGAAAUUCCUCUUUUCCUCCUUCCUCUAAACGAGCUCUUCAGGACAGGGCAGGGCCCUCCUCACCCCCAUGCUGUGUCCAAUUCUGCAAUUCCCAGCCCUGAGCAGGGCAUUCCAUCAGCCCUUCAGUCCUGAGAGGCUUUUCCCCAGCCGCUUCCCUCCCUCACUCCUCCUCCUUUCCUCCCCUAUCAAUCCUUGAGCUGCCUUUUCAGUUUCUCUGGAUCUCUCACCAUCUGUCUCUCUCCUUGCUGCUGUCUUUUUCUUUUUCCUUCCUCUACUGACCAGCCCAACAGAGAGAUAAAUCUCCCAAGCCAAGGAGACCACGUCCUCCAUAUAUAUUCGUGUGACAGUCAGAUGCUACGGUGACAAAGAUCAAAGCCAGCAGCGAGCUCGACAGAGAGAUUCAAUAAUAGCACAGAGUUAGACUGAUAGGAACAAGGCAAAUGGAUAGUUCUGAUUUUAGUAGAUUAUUGACUGCACAACAGAGGCAGAAAAAGGUUUCCCAGCAGCAUGGCUUAGAGAGCAGCUCUUCCCAGUGCAGCCCAGACGAACAAAAGGAGUGAAAUAUGGGAGAAGGAGCACUCUCUGUGCCAUCAUCUUCGUGAGGAAUGGGCCUCCCUGCUGGAUGAACCACUUGGAAUAUGAAUGGAAAAAGCCCUUCUGGGGGAGAGGGAGAAAUUGAGAUGCAGAGCUCACCCAGCAAGAGUUCACCUGCAAAAAAUCCUGGAGAGGCUCACAGUGCAAGCUAGAGGGGUAAGGGCUGCAAAGGGAGAUCAGGUAUGAGCCAAAGGGGUGGCAACAAACCCCACAGUCCCCACCAGGUUUGGAGAAUGAAGAGCCAGGAAGAUUUUUCUUCUUUUGUUGUUCCCCCCAAGCUUUUCCAUCUACACAGGCCAGGCCAGCAGCUCAGCUCCAGCCACAUCUCUGGAUGCCUCUGAAGUACCUGCAGGACCUGACAGAAAAUGACAAGAGAGGCUUCACAUUUGGACUGUGCUUCAGCCCAGGUUUCCUGACAGGGAAUGUCCUGGAAACAGCAGGAGGAUGGGGGUUGACCUCCAAAAAAAAAUAAAGUGACUAACCCAGCCCUGAACAGGAGCAUCCAGAACAGAGGAGCAAGAAUCAAACCACUUCACCCCAAGACCUGCAAGAAGUGGCAGCAUGUAGCAAAUAUUAAAUAAACAAAACCCACAGGGAGCUAUUGAA